AUACGGAGGGUCCGAGCGUUAUCCGGAAUCAUUGGGUUUAAAGGGUCCGUAGGCGGGAAUCUAAGUCAGUGGUGAAAUCUUGCAGCUCAACUGUAAAAUUGCCAUUGAUACUGGAUUUCUUGAAUUAGUGUGAAGUGAUUAGAAUGUGUAGUGUAGCGGUGAAAUGCAUAGAUAUUACACAGAAUACCAAUUGCGAAGGCAGAUCACUAACACUAUAUUGACGCUGAGGGACGAAAGCGUGGGGAGCGAACAGGAUUAGAAACCCUAGUAGUCC
rnacentral:rRNA from 1 species